rnacentral:piRNA from 1 species
UCCUAUUUUCUGCCUCUGUUGUGCAUCAGU